UUUUUUAUAAAACAAAUUAAACCCUUCUUCUUCUUCAACCUCACCGCGCCUCCCCCCUUUUCGUAGAAACCCUAGCCACCGCCGCACCCUUCGAGCCGCUCAGUGCCGCCUCCCAGCCGAUCUCCUCUGCGCGUCUCGCCGAACGUUUACGUCCGCGAGCAACGUGUGCCACCAGCGGCCUCAACUGCGCGAUCUCUCCCUUUUCAGUCGCGUGUCUGCGCCUCUCCUCGUCGCCGACUCUUCGCGCCGGAGUUUCGCACGCCUCCACUCACAUCACGUCGGUUGUCGUCGAGUCUCUGCCGUCCGCGGGUUCCAGAUCUAAGGUCGUGCGAGUUCUUUGUCAUUUGUGGGUUCGGUGCCGUUGCCAGAUUUGUCCAGUCGUCCGCCGCCGUCUCCUUUGGCCAAGUCCUCGACAGCAGAUUGCGUUGUCCUUCUCCUGCGCGUCUGCGAGUCGCCACAAAUAGACUGAGCGUUUCGUUCGUGGGUCGUCGCGCUGUUCGCGAGUUUCCAGCCGCUCGUCCGCCCAGAUCUGAAGCCCAGCUGUUCGCGAGCCCGUCCGACGCGGUCCAAAGCCACCACCUCAGUUUCUUCUUCACGUCCUCUGUUCAGCUCAAGCGUCGUCCACUUUUGAUCGAUUUGGGUAAAACUAGGGACGCGUCGACGAAUGACGAGCGGAAUUCUUGAUCGAGCCACUGUGACCAGUUUUAUGCUUCCGCUCAUGAAAUUUAAACUUCUUUUCAUGUUUUUCUUAGCUUCCAGUGUUGAUAUUUAAAACUUAAUAUUAAGAAUCGCUUCCAGAUUUAUUUAUUAUUAUUUAUGAUUUAUGGGUA